CGCGGAGCUGCCUUCCUCCUGCUCUUAGCGAGCCUGGAAUCACCACAGAAAGCUUUAACGCUAAGAGUCUCUGAGGCGUUCAAGGUUUUUCCAAGACAAGAUGCCUUCUCAUCCAAAAUUUGAAGUCCUGCUGGAAAGCAGAGGAGGAUUAAAUACCUUACCUGCCAAAAUUCUUUCAGAAGGGUAGCAGGAAGCUCACAUGCUCUCAGUGCACAUCUUCAGCAAAAAAUGUGCACAGCCAGUACAUAAUAGAAUAAUGGAAGAUAGAUCUACCUGAAAAAGGCCUCAGGAGGUCAUCUUUGCCAUUACCUUAUCUCCAGGCGGGACUGACCUCUACUUCAGAUUUGAAACAGCUAUUAAAAGAAGAGAUUAAAAUGGCUAAUUACAUGUGAUGCCAGCAUCAUCCCAUAGUAGCACCAUGCCGUAGCAGUGUUUGGAUGCAUUAGUCUGUAGUUCAGCAGCACAGAAAGCUGCUGCAGAAGAGGAUUACAACCCACAGGCUACAUUGACACCACAGAAGUGGAGUCUGGAGGCACGAGGAAAGAAAUCACUACUCCCACUCAGAGAGCUUUAGCUACAAAAAGCUACAACAUAUAAUCUCAGAUGCAUCACCAAGCACCAGGCAUGCUUGUAGGAGUUAAGAAAAUCGUGAGUAACAGAAGCCAUCACCCUGAAGCCAUCUUCCUAGACAGUGAGCAAAAGUAGCUGCAGACUGCUUUAUUUCCUGGUACCUUGUGAGGAAAAAAAAAAACUCAGAAAAAAGG